ensembl:lncRNA
AAACACUAAAAGCAAUGUCCAAUGUGACUGACAUUCUGAGGAAAAGAAUUGGCUGAAAAGUUUUUCACAUUUAUGAAUAGAAAAAUCACAAAAGGAACCAGCUGCUCCAGAAAGGCUAUGACCAUAUUAUGAUGCAAAAGCCAACAGAGAAAAGCCCACUGGAGGACCUCGGGCUGGCCUGGGAGGGGGGUGGAUCUGGCUCUGCUGUCUUCCUCGGCCAACUCAGAACUGAGCACUGAACGCGGGACUUGCAGGCAGAGAGGAGUAGCUGACACCAGAAAGUCAUGAGGGCUAAAGGAGUUCUUGAGCACAACGCACCAAAGAGUCUGGGACACAGCAGCUUUGGCGGCCAUGCUUCACAGCAUCAGAACCGAUCAGUACCAGCAGCGAUAUCCACCCUGACCACAUCAGUGACCUCUUCGGAAGGAAGUGCUGAUUGUCUAGGGGGAGCUGGUAGCCUACGCGCCUGGUACAGACUCGGCCCAGGCUGCCUGCUGACACUCAAACGGCAGAGUGCAAGAAGGUGGGGUCUCUGCCCCCUUUCCUCCCAUGAGCACGCUCCGAGGAAGGAUAUUUUCUGCCUUUGAUUUCUAUUUUGGUGUAUCAGUGUUGUCAGUCUAAGGAGGAACUUUUAAAAUCCUAAGGGAAGGGCUGGGGAUUUAGCUCAGUGGUGCCUCCGCCUGCCUCACAAGGGCAAGGUCCUGAGUUCGAUCCCUGGUACCAAAAAAAAAACAACCCUAAGGGAAACGUGAGCAUUACUAGCUGCACACUCAUUUUGCAGUCUGUACAGACACGGUGGUUGUCUCUGGUUCUGGUUUCUGGCACUGUCUAUUGAGAACAUCCCGGAAUGCAACUGCCUAACUCUGAAACUUCCCAUUUACCUUUGACUCUGAAAAGAUUCACAAGGUGCCUUGAUGAUCCGCCUGACAGCCGGUCACAGAGGAGCCUAGGACUAACAGGCACAAAAAGGACGACUUGUCCAUUUGCACUUGCCCUGGGCUGUGUGAUGAUACGGAACAAGACGGACGACUGGACGUUUCAUAAGACAGCUGAGUCCCAGUUACCUGUUCGGCCUGUGAGUUGUGUCUCAUUAGUAAUAAGUAAAGCAAUGGGCAGCUCCUGGAGAGACGGCGGGCUGCGUAAUUACUAAGACAACGUCUCUAGAAACAACCAGGAUAUAUUAGAGCAGACAUGGCCAGGUCAUCGCCCUGUCUAGAAAGGCUUUUCUGUGAGAGAUUCCAUUCCUGACUGAGAUGGGAUGGGGAGCAGCCCCAGCACCUCUCCCUGUCCGAGGAAACCCAGGACUCUUUGAAGAACUCGACAUGGUGCCCUGGAUUUGACUCCACAUUUAUAGGCAUGAGGUCUUUUUACUUUUAAAAAGGGAAACAAGAAGAGAACUAAUAUUUAGCUUUGUAUUGUUACACUAUUUUCCAAUAUUUUAUAUUUUGUAAUUUUUCUAUUGUCAUAAUUAUGCUUGUACAAAAGAAAUACACUGAAUAAGCAACAAAUAAUUGGACAAAACCUACAAGAUGUACCAUAGUCUGCAUGUUAAGAUAUAAUUCUAUAGAUCAAGUUUAACUUGAGACUAUUUCAAUCUAUAAUUAUGUGGAUAAUUCAAUACCUAUAGUCACUUUUUUGUUAUUAUAGCUAGAAAAAAGCAGCAAAUAUUGUAAAUUAAAAGUAGAAGACAUGGAUUAUCACCUCAAUUAACAAUUAAUCAACAAUAUAACCUGGGACAAUUUAUUCCUCUGAAAUUGAAUUUUUCUCAACUUGAAAAUUUAGGACUUGGACUGGGAGGAUUUUCCAGUCUAAAGUUGUUUGAUACCGAAUUUACAGCUUCACUCAGACCUGUGUCUCCCUCCUCUUAUUCACUUACUCUCCUGCAUCCUGGUAAUGAACAUUCAGGCAACAGAAGUCACAGGAAGAUAUUUCUAGUUGUAACAAAGUGCUAAUUUUUCUGAAUAGGAUGAAUUUUUGCUGUAUGAAAUCAGUGAG